rnacentral:tmRNA from 3 species
GGGGAUGCAAGGCGUAGACAGUAGGCCUUUUGUCAUCGAUGCAUACCGAGAAUGAGCGUAAUCUCGUAAAACUUCGCUCAAUAGCUUAAUUGCAAAAUUAGCUUCCAAAGCUAAAGCGCUAGUUUCUCCUUACUUCGGUGGGGAGAGCUUCGCUUUCGCUUCAGUUUCCGCUUACGCGUAACUGAUGUCUCUCUUUUAGACUUCCGAUAUAUAAGAUGAGGCAUAAUAUUAUCGGGAUAGGGGAAAGAAUGUUCUGACUUUUUUCCGAAAUAAAGGAACUCGAUUAAAAAAUAUUUGGCUCGUUUCUUAAUUUUUUAAUUUAAAACAAUAAGCGCGCUAAGUAUGUAGAUUUCUUGGCAAAAACCUUCUGCACGGGGAUUCAAUUUCCCCCAUCUCCACAA